rnacentral:misc_RNA from 1 species
AAUAUCACGUACUUUAUCGAAAACAAGUUUACAUCUUCAGUCACAUGUUGGAUACAGAGCGUUUCAUGAACAUCAGAAUUUGUCCCGUAGUGAUCUAAUUAAUUUUUUACAUCUAUUUUACAUUUCGAAUUUAUAUUUUGAAAUUUGCUGUAAUAAUGUUUUCUUAUAUGCGUUACAUAUUCGAUGAACACUUUAGGCAAUGGACAAAUAAUACUGCACUUGAAGACGAUUCAAGUGAACGAUCCUCGAUAGAUACGUACAUUGAACCACGCUUUCUGGAAACGUUGAAGAAUUCUUGCCGACAGGCAAGUUUACGGAAAACGAACCAAUCCGAUAUAUGUGAAGAAAUAAGUAGUACUUGCACAGAAAUAAAGUUCCAGUUGCUUGAAUUGAAUGAGAGGAUAGAAUUGGAUAAGCUUAGUGAAUUGACGAGAGAGUUCGAUAUUAUAGCUGCUGCAACAAUUUACUAUAACUUAGGUUAUGUUUACAGUAUAUUGAACAGAACAAUUUCCAAUCGAAACCAAUUUACACAUAUUUGGCUGAUGUUUCCAAGGAAGAAGAUCUGAGAAUAUCAUUAAGAUUGUUAUAUAGGAAUAUGAUAGGGCGUAUGGAAAAGUUGUAUUCUGCUUCAGACAAGAUGGAUGAAUGGAUAGAAACCGUACAUGAUUGUUUAGACGACCGGGCAGGAAUUAUAAACUUUCCGUAUGGAGCAUGUGACUGGUCUAAAGCAGCGAUUAUGAUAAAGAUGUGGAAAGAAGCGGCUGAAUUGCUCCUUUCUGUGAUAGAGGGAGAGGCAGCAUAUCGUGACUUAUAUUUCACUACACAGGAGAAACUUCUAGAUAUUAUAAACAAGUUGGAUUAUUAUUAUGAACACUGCCAACAAAUAGGAGAAACGUAGAGUUUACUGAGCCCCGCCAAAUGUUUGUAAAGUACAAAAUUCAUUUAAAAACUUUUUAAAUGAAUUAGCAGAAUUAUUGAUAUAUACGAACAUGGAUAGGAUUAUUGUCGUUCUGACGGUGCAUACUAUUAUUUUGAUUUUAUAGCUACUUAUCACAUUCUUUCAGACAUAAUAUAUAAUGCGGCGAUGUUGGAAAUACUGUAAAACCAUUUGAGGAAACGUGCAGAAAUAUGCGAAAAAAAGUAGUCUAGAUUAUUAUAAACUAUAUUUAAAUGCGCAUUUUAUCAAAUUAAAUGAGACAAACAGAACAAUUAGCGUGAGACCAUGAUCUAUUUUUCAGUAACGCGAUUGAAUCAAUGCUUAUAAUAGUUAUAGAAAAAUUUCUUAAAAAUCGAAAAUUCUAUUUCUCAUUUCUUUGAUAUAGAAGCAUGUGCAGUAAUAGUAUUUGGUAAUAAAACAUUUUAUAAUGUAAUAUUUAGAAUAUUAUAUUUUAUGACAUAUAGAUUUAUAGUGCAAUUGUAUAUAAUAUCUGCAAUAUUACUUAACUAUAACGAAUGAAAAUAUUCACAAACUGUUUUGCGGAAAACAGGAAUUCGUAAGAGAUUGUAGUUUUAUAGGAUUUAUUUAUCUAAAUGCAAGUAUGUAUAUAUAUAUGUUUAUGUAUUUGUACAAAUCUAUAAAAUUAUUUCUCUUUUAUUUUGAUCAUAUUUUAUAUUUUUAAAACAUUUUCUUUCAUUAUUUUACAAAUAAUUCGUUAUAUUACAUUAGUUAGUCUCUUUCUAUUUGUACGUAUAAUAUAUUUUAUGACGCAGCAUGCAAUAUAUUCCGCAAUAUAUUCAUGCAAUAGAUAAAUAUAAGUUGAAAAAGGUGUCAUGUAAAAGUCAUAUACAUAUAUAGAUACACAUUACGUCGUGAAUUGAAAAUAACUUCCGCGUGUAUUAUAAAUUAUAAUUAUAUUCGGUACGUUAUUAGUAAUGGAUGUACGUAAUAUAAUUGUGAUUAAUUUGAUAUUAUAAGCCUGUUAUACUGUAUCUGUUUCUAUCAAUUUUAUUUUUAAAAUGUAUAUUAAGAUUAAACUUAAUGGUAUAUAAUUUAAUGUAUUAUGGUCGAUAUUUAAAUUGUCGCAUCGAAUACCAAAUAUACAGGGUGAGUUUUA